UUCUUCCAGGAGCGCGCAUGAGCGGACGCUGCCUACGGGUGGCCGGGCGGGAUGUAACCGGCUGCUGAGCUGGCAGUUCUGUGUCGCUAGGCUUCUGCCCGGCCGCCGCCGCACAUAAGCUGCGAGGAGGAGCUUUACGACUUCCCGGUCUUCGGGGCCGGGCGCAGCAAGGGCCAGACUCUGCGCUAGCAGGCGCUGCGCGCCAACCGGCCGGCACCUGUCGCAGAAGGUGCAACCGAUCGCACUGUCGCGCAGAAGCUCCUCAAUGGCCAGCGCCAGCUGCAGCCCCGGCCGCCCACUCGCCUCAUCUGAGCCUGGGCGAAUCUGGAUUGGGAAAGUUGAUAUUAAUCAACUCAUUAUUCCUCACAGAUUUGUAUUCUCCAGAGUAUCCAGGUCCUUCUCAGAGAAUUAAAAAGCCUGUACAGGUCUACAUAUUGGUAUUUUUAAUUGAUGAUAAGCUGGAAUAAUAUUAAUACACACAAAGCACGUGUUGUAACUUUCAUUAUGCUUCCCUAGAGGUGGAACAAUCCAAAGUUUUAAUCAGAGAAGGUGGUGUUCAGUUGCUGCUUACAAUAGUUGAUACCCCAGUAUUUGGAGAUGCAGUGGAUAACAGUAAUUGCUGGCAGCCUGCUAUCAAUUACAUUGAUAGUAAAUUUGAGGACUACCUAAAUGCAGAAUCGCAAGUGAACAGAUGUCAGAUGCCUGGUAACAGGGUGCAGUGUUGUUUAUACUUCAUUGCUCCUUCAGGACAUGGAGACAGAUCUCAUUAUGUUGCCCAGGGUGAUCCUUGAUCUCCUGGCCUCAAGUGAUCCUCCAACCUUGGUCUCCCAAAGUGCUGGGAUUACAGAUGUGAACUACCACACCCAGUCAACGUGCAGAAGGUUUUCAGUUUGAUGUAGUCUGAUGUAGUCUCAUGUAUUUAUCCUUGUUGUUGUUGCCUGAGCUUUUGGUGUGAUAUCCAAAAAUAUCAUUGCCAAGAUCAAUAUCAAGAAACUUUCCCCCUAUGUUUCUUACAGAAAUUUUAUGGUUUCAGAUUUUUCAUCUAUUUUGAGUAUAUUUUUGUGUAUGAUGUAAGAUAAGGGUCCAGUCUCCCCAGUGUUGGAUAUCCAAUUUUCAUAACACCAUUUAUUGAAGAGAUUAUUCUUUCUCCACUGUGUUUUCUUGAUGUCCUUGUCAAAAAUUAGUUGACUUUUAUAUGCUUGGGUUUAUUUCUGGGCUCUAUUCUGUUUCAUUGCUUUACAUCUCUGUUUUCAUGCCAGUGCCACAGUGUUUUGAUUACUAUAGCUUUGUAAUAUAAUUUGAAAUCAGAAUGUGUAAUACCUAUAACUUUGUUUUUUGCUCUAAAGAUUUAUUUAUUUAUUUAUUUAUUUUUGCCAUUUCAGGUCUUUUGUGGUUUCAUAUGAAUUUCAGAAUUGUUUUUCCUAUUUCUGUGAAAAAUGCCAUUGACAUUUUGAUAGGGAUUGUGUUGAAUCUAUAUAUUGCUUUGGAUAGUAUGGAUGUUUUAACACUAUUAAUUCUCCCAAUCCAUGAACAUGAAAUAUCUUUCCAUUCACUUGUGUCUUCUUCAAUUUCUUUCAUCAAUGUUUUAUAGUUUUCAUUGUGCAGAUCUUUCACUUACCUGGUUAAAUUUAUUCCUACAAUUUCAUUCUUUUUGAUAUUAGGGUAAAUUGAAUUAUUUUCUUGAUUUCUAUAAAUUAUUUAUUAUCAUACUCAUACUUGUCAGGCCUCUGGGCCCAAGCCUGCAUGUAUACAUCCAGAUGGCCUGAAAUAACUGAAGAAUCACAAAAGAAGUGAAAAUGGCCAGUUCCUGCCUUAACUGGUGACAUUACCUUGUGAAAUUCCUUCUCCUGGCUCAGAAGCUCCCCCGCUGAGCACCUUGUGACCCCCGUCCCUGCCCACCAGAGAACAACCCCCUUUGACUGUAAUUGUCCACUACCCACCCAAAUCCUAUAAAACAGCCCCACCCCUGUCUCCCUUCACUGACUCCUUUUUCAGACUCAGCCUGCCUGCACCCAGGUGAAAUAAACAGCCUUGUUGCUCAC
rnacentral:lncRNA from 1 species